UGGGGAAUAUUGCACAAUGGGCGAAAGCCUGACGCAGCAACGCCGCGUGAGGGAUGAAGGCUCUCGGGUUGUAAACCUCUUUCAGCAGGGACGAUUGUGACGGUACCUGCAGAAGAAGCCCGCCGCAACUACGUGCCAGCAGCCGCGGUAAUACGUAGGGGGCGGAGCGUUGUUCCGGCAGUUUAUUGGGCGUAAAGAGCUCGUAGGUGGUUCGAUAAGUCGGGUGUGAAAACUCUGGGCUUAACUCAGAGACGCCACCCGAUACUGUCGUGACUUGAGUCUGGUAGGGAGUGUGGAAUUCCCAGUGUAGCGGUGAAAUGCGCAGAUAUUGGGAGGAACACCAGUGGCGAAGGCGGCACUCUGGGCCAGUACUGACACUGAGGAGCGAAAGCGUGGGUAGCGAACA
rnacentral:rRNA from 1 species